rnacentral:rRNA from 1 species
UACGUAGGGUGCGAGCGUUAAUCGGAAUUACUGGGCGUAAAGCGUGCGCAGGCGGUUUUGUAAGUCAGAUGUGAGAUCCCCGGGCUUAACCUGGGAACUGCGUUUGAAACUACAAGGCUAGAGUGUGGCAGAGGGGGGUGGAAUUCCACGUGUAGCAGUGAAAUGCGUAGAGAUGUGGGGGAACACCGAUGGCGAAGGCAGCCCCCUGGGUUAACACUGACGCUCAGGCACGAAAGCGUGGGGAGCAAACAGG